ensembl:lncRNA novel transcript
UUUCACCUGCAGUUGAAGAUCCGUGAGGUGCCCAGAAGAUCAUGCAGUCAUCAGUCCCACGGAGCAGCCUGCGAGGCUGAGGCUCCUCCCACUGGACCGCCCCCCAACUGGCACCACUGCUGCCCCUGCCCCUACUCUCAGCCUCACGUGACUCUCGGGCAGAAGCAGUGGUGGGGCAGCCAGGGCAGCGUCAAGAGUCUGAGCCAGCUGCAGGACAAGUUCGAGCAUCUUAAAAUGAUUCAACAGGAGGAGAUAAGGAAGCUCGAGGAAGAGAAAAAACAACUGGAAGGAGAAAUCAUAGAUUUUUAUAAAAUGAAAGCUGCCUCUGAAGCACUGCAGACUCAGCUGAGCACCG